GACGAAGGGGGCUAGCGUUGUUCGGAAUUACUGGGCGUAAAGCGAGUGUAGGCGGUUGUCGUAGUCAGGUGUGAAAGCCUUGAGCUCAACUCAAGAAAUGCACUUGAUACUGGGCAGCUAGAGGACCGGAGAGGAUAGUGGAAUUCCCAGUGUAGUGGUGAAAUACGUAGAGAUUGGGAAGAACACCAGUGGCGAAGGCGGCUAUCUGGACGGUUUCUGACACUAAGACUCGAAAGCGUGGGGAGCAAACAGG
rnacentral:rRNA from 1 species